AUCCAGCCGACGAGUCCCAAAUUGGUCGAAACGCGCGUCCUGGAU
rfam:Schistosoma mansoni strain Puerto Rico chromosome 4, complete genome